rnacentral:rRNA from 1 species
ACAUGUCUUUUUGGUUAUUUAAUAUAAAGUCUGACCUGCCCACUGAAUAUAAUUUUAAAGGGCCGCAGUAUUUUGACUGUGCAAAGGUAGCAUAAUCAUUAGUCUUUUAAUUGAAGGCUGGUAUGAAUGGUUGGAUGAGGUACAAGCUGUGUCAUAAAAAUUAAUAUUUGAAUUUACCUUUUUAGUCAAAAGGCUAAAAUUUUAUUAAAAGACGAGAAGACCCUAUAGAGCUUUAUAUAGUUAAUAUUUAGAUUAUUAAUAUUUUUUAAAUUUAAUUAUUUUAUUAUAUUUUGUUGGGGUGACAAUAAAAUUUAUAAAACUUUUAUUAUUAUUAUUCAUUAAUUUAUGUUUAAAUGAUCCAAUUUUAUUGAUUAUAAAUUUAAGUUACCUUAGGGAUAACAGCGUAAUUUUUUUUGAGAGUUCUUAUCAACAAAAAAGUUUGCGACCUCGAUGUUGGAUUAAGAUUAAUUUUGGGUGUAGAAGUUCAAAGUUUAAGUCUGUUCGACUUUUAAAUU